rnacentral:rRNA from 1 species
AUUGAACGCUGGCGGCAGGCCUAACACAUGCAAGUCGAACGAGUGGCGGACGGGUGAGGAAUGUCUGAGAAACUGACUGAUGGAGGGGGAUAACUACUGGAAACGGUAGCUAAUACCGCAUACCAUCGGAUGUGCCCAGAUGGGAUGAGCUAGGAGGGUGGGGAAAGGCUCACCAAGGCGACGAUCCCUAGCUGGGCUGAGAGGAUGACCAGCCACACUGGAACUGCGACACGGUCCAGACUCCUACGGGAGGCAGCAGUGGGGAAUAUUGCACAAUGGGCGCAAGCCUGAUGCAGCCAUGCCGCGUGUAUGAAGAAGGCCUUCGGGUUGUAAAGUACUUUCAGCGGGGAGGCGUUACCCGCAGAAGAAGCACCGGCUAACUCCGUGCCAGCAGCCGCGGUAAUUC